rnacentral:rRNA from 1 species
AAUGAACGCUGGCGGCAUGCCUAACACAUGCAAGUCGAACGACAGCACAGGAAGAUCUUGCUCUUAGGGGUGGCGCGUGGCGGACGAGUGACGCAUGCAUCGCAUACCUCUUUUACGGGGGGGAUAACGUAGGGAAACUUCUUCUAAUACAGCAUAUGUCGUACUGGUAAGGGCAAGAGUUCUACUCGCUAUUCGCGAUGGUAAGAGCCGAAUCCGCGCUGGAUUAGUGAGUUGGGAAGGGAACGGCUUACCAAGGCUACGCAGCGUAGCCGACCUGAGAGGGUGAUCGGCCACACUGGAACUGAGACACGGUCCAGACUCCUACGGGAGGCAGCAGUAGGGAAUCUUACGCAAAGGGCGAAAGCCUGAUGGAGCAACGCCGCGUGAGUGAUGAAGGUCUUCGGAUCGUAAAGCUCUGUUGUUAGGAAAGAACAGAUGUGUAUGUAACCGUGCACAUCUUGACGGUACCUAAAGAGUAAGCCCCGGCUAACUACGUG